CCGUGACGACGCAACGCCGCGUGGAGGAUGAAGGUCUUCGGAUUGUAAACUCCUGUUGCCCGAGACGAAUGGCUUCAACCUAAUACGUUGGAGUGUGACGGUACCGGGUGAGGAAGCCCCGGCUAACUCUGUGCCAGCAGCCGCGGUAAUACAGAGGGGGCAAGCGUUGUUCGGAAUUACUGGGCGUAAAGGGCGCGUAGGCGGCCUGCUAAGUCGAACGUGAAAUCCCUGGGCUCAACCCAGGAACUGCGUCCGAUACUGGUUGGCUUGAAUCCGGGAGAGGGAUGUGGAAUUCCAGGUGUAGCGGUGAAAUGCGUAGAUAUCUGGAGGAACACCGGUGGCGAAGGCGACAUCCUGGACCGGUAUUGACGCUGAGGCGCGAAAGCCAGGGGAGCAAACGGGAUUAGAUACCCCGGUAGUCCUGGCCCUAAACGAUGAAUGCUUGGUGUGGUGGGUAUCGAUCCCUACCGUGCCGAAGCUAACGCAUUAAGCAUUCCGCCUGGGGAGUACGGUCGCAAGGCUG
rnacentral:rRNA from 1 species